rnacentral:rRNA from 1 species
GAGGAAUAUUGGUCAAUGGGCGAGAGCCUGAACCAGCCAAGUAGCGUGCAGGAUGACGGCCCUAUGGGUUGUAAACUGCUUUUAUGCGGGGAUAAAGUGCGCGACGUGUCGCGCAUUGCAGGUACCGCAUGAAUAAGGACCGGCUAAUUCCGUGCCAGCAGCCGCGGUAAUACGGAAGGUCCGGGCGUUAUCCGGAUUUAUUGGGUUUAAAGGGAGCGUAGGCCGCCAGGUAAGCGUGUUGUGAAAUGUACCGGCUCAACCGGUGAAUUGCAGCGCGAACUGUCUGGCUUGAGUGCACGGUAAGCAGGCGGAAUUCAUGGUGUAGCGGUGAAAUGCUUAGAUAUCAUGAAGAACUCCGAUUGCGAAGGCAGCUUGCUGCAGUGCGACUGACGCUGAUGCUCGAAGGUGCGGGUAUCAAACAGGAUUAGAUACCCUGGUAGUCCGCACGGUAAACGAUGGAUGCCCGCUGUCCGCCCCUUUGUGGCGGGUGGCCAAGCGAAAGCGUUAAGCAUCCCACCUGGGGAGUACGCCGGCAACGGUG